rnacentral:rRNA from 1 species
AACGUAGGGGGCGAGCGUUAUCCGGAUUUACUGGGCGUAAAGCGUGCGCAGGCGGUCUGUUAAGACCGAUGUGAAAUCCCCGGGCUUAACCUGGGAACUGCAUUGGUGACUGGCAGGCUUUGAGUGUGGCAGAGGGAGGUAGAAUUCCACGUGUAGCAGUGAAAUGCGUAGAGAUGUGGAGGAAUACCGAUGGCGAAGGCAGCCUCCUGGGCCAACACUGACGCUCAUGCACGAAAGCGUGGGGAGCAAACAGG